rnacentral:rRNA from 1 species
UACGGAGGGGGCUAGCGUUGUUCGGAAUUACUGGGCGUAAAGCGCGCGUAGGCGGCUUUGUAAAUUAGAGGUGAAAGCCCAGGGCUCAACCCUGGAAUUGCCUUUAAGACUGCAUCGCUUGAACAUCGGAGAGGUAAGUGGAAUUCCGAGUGUAGAGGUGAAAUUCGUAGAUAUUCGGAAGAACACCAGUGGCGAAGGCGACUUACUGGACGAUUGUUGACGCUGAGGUGCGAAAGCGUGGGGAGCAAACAGG